GGAUCCCAACUGUGUGUCAGGAGAGACUCUCGGUAUAGGAAAUGAACAACAUAAACCGUGAGCGCGGCAGACGCACCUUCGCUUCAGCAGAGAUUGUGCUCCCGCGGAACAAGGGCUGCACACAGGUAUGUUCUAGAAGAAUUUUCCAUCAUGUAAAAAAAGCAUGACAUUAAGGAUAUGAUGUGUAUCAAUCUACAUGGUAAUAAAUUGUGCAGCUCUCAUCAUCAGAAAGGCAGUAGUGAGCAAAAACUUGCAGACAUUGUACAGUUUUCCCCACAGAGCUGUGCUAAAGCCAACGAAGAAAAUGAAAUCUCUGCUAAUAAGAUAUCUACGAUUUUGACAGUUGUUCUUUAAACAUACAUAUGUGAAUGUGUAUGUAUGCAUGUGCA
rnacentral:lncRNA from 1 species